CCUACGGGGGGCUGCAGUGGGGAAUAUUGGACAAUGGGGGGAACCCUGAUCCAGCCAUGCCGCGUGUGUGAAGAAGGCCCUCGGGUUGUAAAGCACUUUCAGUGAGGAAGAACGCCUGGUGGUUAAUACCCAUCAGGAAAGACAUCACUCACAGAAGAAGCACCGGCUAACUCCGUGCCAGCAGCCGCGGUAAUACGGAGGGUGCGAGCGUUAAUCGGAAUUACUGGGCGUAAAGCGCGCGUAGGUGGCUUGAUAAGCCGGUUGUGAAAGCCCCGGGCUCAACCUGGGAACGGCAUCCGGAACUGUCAAGCUAGAGUGCAGGAGAGGAAGGUAGAAUUGCCGGUGUAGCGGUGAAAUGCGUAGAGAUCGGCAGGAAUACCAGUGGCGAAGGCGGCCUUCUGGACUGACACUGACACUGAGGUGCGAAAGCGUGGGUAGCAAACAGGAUUAGAUACCCGUGUAGUC
rnacentral:rRNA from 1 species